rnacentral:rRNA from 1 species
AUGAAUGGCAUACGAGGGCUUAACUGUCUCCUUUUUCAAGUCAAUGAAAUUGAUCUCCCCGUGCAGAAGCGGGGAUACACCCAUAAGACGAGAAGACCCUAUGGAGCUUAAGACGCCAAGGCAUAUCAUGUUAAACACCCCUAAACAAAGGGCCAAACCAAGUGAUAACGUAUGCCCUAAUGUCUUUGGUUGGGGCGACCGCGGGGAAACAAAAAACCCCCACGUGGAAUGGGAGCACCCCUCCUACAACCAAGAGCUGCAGCUCUAAUAAACAGAAUUUCUGACCAAUAAGAUCCGGCAACGCCGAUCAACGGACCGAGUUACCCUAGGGAUAACAGCGCAAUCCCCUUUAAGAGCCCAUAUCGACAAGGGGGUUUACGACCUCGAUGUUGGAUCAGGACAUCCUAAUGGUGCAGCCGCU